rnacentral:rRNA from 1 species
GACCCGGAGCUUGCUCUGGUGAUUAGUGGCGAACGGGUGAGUAACACGUGGGCAACCUGCCCCUAGCUCUGGGAUAACUGCGGGAAACUGUAGCUAAUACCGGAUGUGACACGAGACUGCAUGGUCUUCGUGUGGAAAGAUUUUUCGGCUAGGGAUGGGCCCGCGGUCUAUCAGCUUGUUGGUGGGGUAAUGGCUCACCAAGGCGACGACGGAUAACCGGCCUGAGAGGGCGACCGGUCACACUGGGACUGAGACACGGCCCAGACUCCUACGGGAGGCAGCAGUGGGGAAUAUUGCACAAUGGGCGCAAGCCUGAUGCAGCGACGCCGCGUGAGGGAUGACGGCCUUCGGGUUGUAAACCUCUUUCAGUAGGGACGAAGCGAGAGUGACGGUACCUGCAGAAGAAGCGCCGGCCAACUACGUGCCAGCAGCCGCGGUAAUACGUAGGGCGCAAGCGUUGUCCGGAAUUAUUGGGCGUAAAGAGCUCGUAGGCGGUUUGUCACGUCGGCUGUGAAAUCCCGAGGCUCAACCUCGGGCUUGCAGUCGAUACGGGCAGACUAGAGUGGAGCAGGGGAGACUGGAAUUCCUGGUGUAGCGGUGAAAUGCGCAGAUAUCAGGAGGAACACCGAUGGCGAAGGCAGGUCUCUGGGCUUUAACUGACGCUGAGGAGCGAAAGCGUGGGUAGCGAACAGGAUUAGAUACCCUGGUAGUCCACGCCGUANACGGUGGGCGCUAGGUGUGGGGACCAUUCCNCGGUCUCCGUGCCGCAGCUAACGCAUUAAGCGCCCCGCCUGGGGAGUA